UACGGGGGGGGCAAGCGUUGUUCGGAAUUACUGGGCGUAAAGGGCUCGUAGGCGGCCAACUAAGUCAGACGUGAAAUCCCUCGGCUUAACCGGGGAACUGCGUCUGAUACUGGAUGGCUAGAGGUUGGGAGAGGGAUGCGGAAUUCCAGGUGUAGCGGUGAAAUGCGUAGAUAUGCGGAGGAACACCGAUGGCGAAGGCAAUCCCCUGGGCCAAUACUGACGCUCAGGCACGAAAGCGUGGGGAGCAAACAGG
rnacentral:rRNA from 1 species